rnacentral:rRNA from 1 species
UCCUGGCUCAGGAUGAACGCUAGCGGCAGGCCUAACACAUGCAAGUCGAGGGCAGCAUAAACAAGCUUGCUUGUUGGUGGCGACCGGCGCACGGGUGCGUAACGCGUAUGCAACCUACCCUGUACUGGGGGAUAGCCCGGAGAAAUUCGGAUUAAGACCCCAUAGUGUUAUCGAAUCGCAUGGUUUGAUAACUAAAGUUCCAACGGUAUAAGAUGAGCAUGCGUCCCAUUAGUUAGUUGGUAAGGUAACGGCUUACCAAGACAAUGAUGGGUAGGGGUCCUGAGAGGGAGAUCCCCCACACUGGUACUGAGACACGGACCAGACUCCUACGGGAGGCAGCAGUGAGGAAUAUUGGUCAAUGGGCGCAAGCCUGAACCAGCCAUGCCGCGUGCAGGAAGACGGUCCUAUGGAUUGUAAACUGCUUUUAUACAGGAAGAAACCCUCCCACGUGUGGGAGCUUGACGGUACUGUAGGAAUAAGGAUCGGCUAACUCCGUG